rnacentral:rRNA from 1 species
CAGCGCCACGAGUGGCAAUCACGAUUAUUGGGCCUAAAGCGUCCGUAGCCGGUUCAGUAAAUCCUUUGUGAAAUCGCCAGGCCUAACCUGGCGGCGUGCAGGGGACACUGCCGAACUCGAGACCGGGAGGAGUUAGAAGUAUUUCUGGGGGAGCGGUAAAAUGCUAUAAUCCCAGAAGGACUACCUAUGGCGAAGGCAUCUAACUAGAACGGAUCUGACGGUGAGGGACGAAAGCCAGGGGAGCGAACCGGAUUAGAUACCCGAGUAGUCC